AUGUUACUCCCUCCGUUUGAAAAUACUUGUCAUCAAAAUGGACAAAAAAAGAUGUAUCUAGAACUAAAAUACAUCUAGAUACAUCCCCUUUUAUUCAUUUUGAUAACAAGUAUUUUCAGACGGAGGGAGUACACC
rnacentral:pre_miRNA from 1 species